GGAAUCUUCGGCAAUGGACGGAAGUCUGACCGAGCAACGCCGCGUGAGUGAAGAAGGUUUUCGGAUCGUAAAACUCUGUUGUUAGAGAAGAACAAGUGAGAGAGUAACUGUUCUCACCUUGACGGUAUCUAACCAGAAAGCCACGGCUAACUACGUGCCAGCAGCCGCGGUAAUACGUAGGUGGCAAGCGUUAUCCGGAUUUAUUGGGCGUAAAGCGAGCGCAGGCGGUUUCUUAAGUCUGAUGUGAAAGCCCCCGGCUUAACCGGGGAGGGUCAUUGGAAACUGGGAGACUUGAGUGCAGAAGAGGAGAGUGGAAUUCCAUGUGUAGCGGUGAAAUGCGUAGAUAUAUGGAGGAACACCAGUGGCGAAGGCGACUCUCUGGUCUGUAACUGACGCUGAGGCUCGAAAGCGUGGGGAGCAAACAGGA
rnacentral:misc_RNA from 1 species